ACAUGGGUUCCAUGCUCAGGUAUAAGGAAUAUAAGGAAUUGGCAAGCUCAAGGUCAGGUUGGAUUUCCAGCAUGGGCAUGUGUCACUAGGAUGUUUCAGAAUCAUGAGGGAUGGGGAAUGGAAGAGAAUGUUUGUUUAAAAAUGUGGAUUCCCAGGGGCCCAUCCUAGUGAUUCUAAUUUAGUGGGUCUGAGAUGGAAUGUUUCCAAAAGAAAUUUUAAUUCUAUAAUAAUAGAUCUUCAUGAAACACUAUAUGCCAGGAACUAUUAAUUAGUUUUACAUAUAUCCAUUUAUUUAAUCCUCACAGCAGUCCAAUUAGUAGGUAAUUAAUAUUAUUAUCAUUUUAGGUGUGGAAACUAAGGCACAGAGAAAUUAUGUAAUUUG
rnacentral:lncRNA from 10 species